rnacentral:rRNA from 1 species
UACGAAGGGUGCAAACGUUGCUCGGAAUUAUUGGGCGUAAAGCGCACGUAGGCGGCUUUUCAAGUCCCAUGUGAAAUCCCACGGCUUAACCGUGGAAGUGCAUGGGAAACUGGAAAGCUUGAGUACUUAAGAGGAUCGCGGAAUUCCCGGUGUAGAGGUGAAAUUCGUAGAUAUCGGGAGGAACACCAGUGGCGAAGGCGGCGAUCUGGGAAGAUACUGACGCUGAGGUGCGAAAGCGUGGGGAGCGAACAGG